rnacentral:rRNA from 1 species
UACGGAGGGUGCAAGCGUUAUCCGGAAUUAUUGGGCGUAAAGAGUUCGUAGGCGGUUUUGUAAGUUGGAUGUUAAAUCUUGAGGCUCAACCUUAAGUAUGUAUCCAAAACUGCAAAGCUGGAGAAUUGCAGAGGUAUGUGGAAUUCCGCAUGUAGGGGUAAAAUCCGUUGAUAUGCGGAGGAACACCAAAAGCGAAGGCAGCAUACUGGGCAAUUUCUGACGCUGAGGAACGAAAGCGUGGGGAGCGAACGGG